rnacentral:rRNA from 1 species
CCUACGGGUGACAGCAGUGGGGGAUAUUGCACAAUGGGGGAAACCCUGAUGCAGCGACGCCGCGUGGGCGAAGAAGUAUUUCGGUAUGUAAAGCCCUAUCAGCAGGGAAGAAGAAAUGACGGUACCUGAGUAAGAAGCACCGGCUAAAUACGUGCCAGCAGCCGCGGGAAUACGUAUGGUACAAGCGUUAUCCGGAUUUACUGGGUGUAAAGGGAGCGCAGGCGGCACGGCAAGCCUGAUGGGAAAGCCCGGGGCCCAACCGCGGGACUGCAUUGGGAACUACCGGGCUGGAGUGCCGGAGAGGUAGGCGGAAUGCCUAGUGUAGCGGUGAAAUGCGUAGAUAUUAGGAGGAACACCAGUGGCGAAGGCGGCCUACUGGACGGUGACUGACGCUGAGGCUCGAAAGCGUGGGGAGCAAACAGGAUUAGAUACCCUGGUAGUC